UACAGAGGUCCCAAGCGUUGUUCGGAUUCACUGGGCGUAAAGAGCUCGUAGGCGGCUUGUCGCGUCGACUGUGAAAUCCCGCGGCUCAACUGCGGGUCUGCAGUCGAUACGGGCAGGCUAGAGUUCGGUAGGGGAGACUGGAAUUCCUGGUGUAGCGGUGAAAUGUGCAGAUAUCAGGAGGAACACCGGUGGCGAAGGCGGGUCUCUGGGCCGAUACUGACGCUGAGGAGCGAAAGCGUGGGGAGCGAACAGG
rnacentral:rRNA from 1 species